GACGAACGCUGGCGGCGUGCCUAAUACAUGCAAGUAGAACGCUGAAGGAGGAGCUUGCUUCUCUGGAUGAGUUGCGAACGGGUGAGUAACGCGUAGGUAACCUGCCUGGUAGCGGGGGAUAACUAUUGGAAACGAUAGCUAAUACCGCAUAAGAGUAGAUGGUGCAUGACAUUUGCUUAAAAGGUGCAAUUGCAUCACUACCAGAUGGACCUGCGUUGUAUUAGCUAGUUGGUGAGGUAACGGCUCACCAAGGCAACGAUACAUAGCCGACCUGAGAGGGUGAUCGGCCACACUGGGACUGAGACACGGCCCAGACUCCUACGGGAGGCAGCAGUAGGGAAUCUUCGGCAAUGGACGGAAGUCUGACCGAGCAACGCCGCGUGAGUGAAGAAGGUUUUCGGAUCGUAAAGCUCUGUUGUAAGAGAAGAACGAGUGUGAGAGUGGAAAGUUCACACUGUGACGGUAUCUUACCAGAAAGGGACGGCUAACUACGUG
rnacentral:rRNA from 1 species